GUCACUUCUGCCUGUCUCCAAUGCAUCCCCUCCAAUGUGUACUCAAAUUUAUAUUCACAUCCCCGGUAACAAAGUAAAUUUCUGUGGAGCCAUUCGAUUUCGUAUAUGUUAUUUUGAAACCGCAUUAAUUCAUUUUGUGGAUCCGUAAUUGUUACCUUUACGUUUCGAACUGGUUCGAGUUUCAUGAUUGACCGAAUUUCAAUUGAGAACGUAAGAUUUUUACAAUGGGCUUCGUUACAGACUUCCAAUUGUAAGGGUAAGUGUGUUGUGAGGCUAAAAGCAUAAGCAUCGUCUAACACUUUGUCCCAAGCAUGCACGCAGCCGCUGGCUGCGGCUCCUGACAUAUCAGUGCACAGAAGCUUGCCUUCCGUGAAUAACGUGAAAGCAUUUUUCGUAUUUGACGAGGUCCACGUGCACUCUAGCUUAUGGAAAAGAUGCAAAAUGCAUUGAAAAUCUCUGAUCUGAACCUCGAAACCAUAAUCCACUAUCACAUCAAAAACUGUGGAUAUCUCCGCCUUCAGACACUUAUACCGCCUGACUUCUAAGUUAUUCGUAAGUGUUGCAGACACCGUAGUCCCGUUGACGGCUUCAGUAUGAAGUUUCAAAUAAGGAUCCAAUGCUUUUGACCAUGUGUAUUUAAGUGAGAGUGCCUCAACGUCAUGUGCUGAACAAAACACGUCAUAAAUUUCGUCACGAGGCACGUAGUAAUUUCCCGAAGCUUGACGCACAUUCGGAGACGUGACGGCCACCGCGGGACGGACAGUGACAACCAGAGACUUAUUAUAGCCGGUACUACUGUCCAUGCAGUGGUAUGUGUGCUCGCCCACCUCCAGCUGUUCAAUCGACACCUGGAUUGUCGUAGAGUUGUCUGAGACUGAUUUUAGUAGUCCGUUUAGGUUUACGAUGGCAAGGUUAGUAGCGUUGGCUGCAGUACAGAAUAUGGUGAUUUCAUCUCCAUACGUUGAAUCUAAAUGUAAUUCAUGGUCAUUUGCAGCAUGUCUGUAACUAAGCGUACUGGGAGUUCGAGCGACGAUGGUCGGCUCGGUGUCGGCGCACGCGCACUCCGACGCCAGCAGCGUCGUCGCUGCCAGGAGCGUCAGGACGAUUUUCAUCGCAGCAACAAUAGGAGCUCUGAAAGCGAAGCACGUCCCCUAUGCAGGCGCCAUGGGCGCUUGUAGCCCAAGCAGCAAACAGCACCGCCAAUGUCAGCAUCGUAGAUGCAUCGCGCGAACACAACCAGUAAUGAUCAACACAUCACAUAUUAAAUGUCUGCUAGCAAAGCUAUUUGUUUUAUUUUCCUUAAUGGGCGUGUUUAAUGCAACUGCGGCUAUGACCUGGAUAGUUUCGAGGACUUUGAGCCUAGUGUGCACUCUGUCUUAUGCAUUAUGACAAUGAGCAAAUAAUAUUCUUACUUAUUAUUAAUAUUUUUGAAGCAUUUGGUUUGCAUUCUGAUAAACAAUGCAUUUA